UUUUUGGUUUGUUUGGCAGGGUAGCCCACCGAAGGGGGACAUCUCGAAGAGAAGCAGCAAGACCUGGGGAUCCGGUGGUUCAUUUUGGUCGUCGCCUGUGAGGCCAGCAUCCAAGAGUAAGAGGAAGCUAGGAGCAGUCUCAAAAAGAGAUGGAACCAAGGACAGCAAAUGCUGACGAAGAGAAGAGACGGACAAGCGUUUGCUUGUGGUUAAUACCGAAGGGACGGGAUGAAACAAGGAAGCCAGAAUGCAGCGGCCCCUCGAUAUCACCAGGAACUGCUACAGGAGGAGGCGUUCUGGCACGGGUAGCUAAGAUUAAUUGCCACGGCUGAAGUUGAAGAGACCGAGAAACGUAAGCCCCGAAGGGGCACAUCUUGAAGAGAGGGGGCUAGACCUAGCGAUCCAGUUGUUCGUUUUGGUCGUCGCCUGUGAGGCCAGCAUCCAAGAGUAAGAGGAAGCUAGGAGCAGUCUCAAAAAGAGAUGGAACCAAGGACAGCAAAUGCUGACGAAGAGAAGAGACGGACAAGCGUUUGCUUGUGGCUAAUACCGAAGGGACGGGAUGAAACAAGGAAGCCAGAAUGCAGCGGCCCCUCGAUAUCACCAGGAACUGCUACAGGAGGAGGCUUUCUGGCACGGGUAGCUAAGGUAAGUAUCGCUAAUGACCGUUAGCAGUUAUUUCGGCCUCCCCGAGGCAGCGCUGAGGACUACGUAACCUGAGGGGCUCUGGCCUGGGUUAGGGCAGAAGUGCAGGCAGGUGGGAUCAGGCAUUUUCCUCUCAGCUCUCCGAGCUGAAUCCUAGCCCUGAAGGAAAAAGCACU